CAAAGAACUAUAUUUAUUUAGGUAUAUAUAUAUGUAUAUCAUAAGUAUACAUAUAUAUAUAUAGUCUGUUUUCAAUACAGUGCAGAGUACACAUCUUCAGGCAGCAUAAAGAACAUCGUUAAUCACUUCGGUAUCUCAAACAUUCAUAAAGGAGUAGUGCUACGUCUUUCAGUCUCAUUUCCAAGACUUUCUUUUGUUUCAGGCUUUGUUUUCCAUGUUAACCAAAGCAACCAAGCUGAUAUAAAAACAACUUUCACAUAUAAAAUUUCAGCAGAACCAACUUCUCUGACCAGAGAUCCUGCCUCGCUUGGGGACUCCGCUGAAGUCAGUGCGGAGUCAGCAGGGAUUGCUGGCCACCUCCUGCAAUGAAGGCUGUUGGAACAAGACUCAGAUACAUUUUGCUUAGCAAAUUUACAUUUGGCUUCCAAAUCUGUGAGCGAAAAUGAUUCUUUUAGAGAAAGUGCAGCCUUGGGGAAUCCAGGACAGCCUUGGUAUCUUCUCCUGAGGCCAGGACUGAGCCCAGAGCGCCCGUUGGCCACUCCAUUGGUCCUCUUGAUGCUGUCAUCAGAGGGACUCCUUUGACAUUUCUACUUUUUUCCCCUAUUAAAACUAUUCCUCUCAAUGAGGUGAGAAUCUAGUAACAUCCCACUAAACUACUUCUUGCAGCAGACUAAGGAACAAGCCACAGAUAUCUGGAAAGCAGGGAAUAAUAUUGCACCUUGGCCCAAAAUAGAGCUGAGCUACAGGGAAAGGGCUGGAAAACAGAGAUAAAGCAGAAUUAAGCAAUAGCAACAGGUCGGCAGGUGAUACAAGGAGAUAAAUAACUCUGCCUCAAAGCCAUACCUCAUUGGUUUUCCAUGGACCCUCCUUUCCCCCUCUGCUCUUUACCAGGGCCAUUUGGAUGCAGAGCAGUACUUCUUAGCAUGGCUUGAAAUUUUUACUCCACCUGGCUGAUAUGGCUGCUGUGGGACACACUGGGUCACACUUUGCUGUGGGAUGCACUUGGUGGCACAGUGCUGCUGCUGUAGAAUCCCUUUGGUGGCACACUGCUGUGGGACACACUUGGUGGCACACUGCUGCUGCUGCGGGAUGCACUUGGUUGCACAUUGCUGAUGUGGGAUGCACUUGGUUGCACACUGCUGCUGGGGCACGCACUUGGUCACACAUGGCUCUUGCGAUGUGCCCUGGGUGGCACAUGACUGCUGUGGCACACAGGUGGUCACCCACCUGGCGGGUGGCAUGUGCUGGGUCACACGCUGUUGCACGCACAUGGUUGCAUACUGCUGCCGUGGUAUGCACUGGGUCACACGCUGCUGUGGGGAGAAGCUGGAGGACAGAAACCGCUGCCGAGGAACGCAGGGGGUCACGUACUGCGGGGUGCACAGCGCUGACUGCCAGCUGUGCAUCAGAGGGUGUGUUUGGGGGCACUUAA
rnacentral:lncRNA from 1 species